GUUUCAGCUCUGUGAGUUGAAGGGACACAUCACAAACAAGUUUGUGAGGAUGCUUCUCUCUAGUGUUUAUGUGAAUAUAUUUCCGUUUCAAAUGAAGGCCUCAAAGCAGUAAAAAUAUCCACUUGCAAAUUCUCCAAAAGACUGUUUCAAAACUGCUCUAUCAAAAGAAAGGUUCAACUCUGUGAGUUGAAUGUACAUAUCGCAAAGAAGUUAAUGAGAAUGCUGCUGUCUAGUUUUUAUGUAAAGAUAUUCCCGUUUCCAACGAAGGCCUCAAAGCGGUCCAAAUAUCCACUUACAGUUUCUACAAAAAGAGUGUUUCAAAACUGCUUUAUCAUAAGGUAUGUUCAACUCUGUGAGUUGAAUGCAAACAUUGCAAAGAAGUUUCUGAGAAUACUUCUGUCUAGUUUUUAUGUGAACAUAUUUCCUUUUCCACCAUAGGCUCCAAAGUGCUCCAAAGGUUCACUUACGGAUUCUACAAAAACAGUGUUUCAAACCUGCUCUGUCAAAAGAAAGGUUCAACACUGUGAGUUGAAUGCACACAACACAAAGAAGUUUCUGAGAAUGCUUCUGUCUAAUUUUUAUAUAAGGAUAUUCCCAUUUCCAACGAAGGCCAAUAAACGGUCAAAAUAGCCACUUGUAGAUUCUACUAAAAGAGUGUACCAAAACUUCUCUAUGAUAAAGUAUGUCCAACUCUGUGAGUUGAAUGCAAACAUCACAAAGAAGUUUCUGAGAACGCCUCUGUCUAGUUUUUAUGUGAAGAUAUUUCCUUUUCCACCAUAGGCCUCAAGGCUCUCCAAAUGUCCCCUUGCAGAUUCUGCAAAAAGAGUGUUUCAAAACUCCUGUAACAAAAGAGAGGUUCAACUCUGUGAGUUGAAUGCACACAUCACAAAGAAGUUUCUGAGAACAAUUCUGUCUAGUGUUUAUGUGACGAUAUUCCAGUUUCCAAUGAAGUCCUCAAAGCGCUUCAAAUAUCCACUUGCAGAUUCUACAAAAAGAGUGUUUCAAAACUGCUCUACCAAAAAAUAGUUUCAACUCUGUCAGUUGAAUGCAAACAUCACAAAGAAGCUUCUGAGAAUGCUUCUGUCUACUUUUUAUGCGAAGAUAUUUCCUUUCCCACGUUAGGCCUCAAAGCUCUCCAAAUUUCCACUUGAAGAUUCUACAAAAUGAUGGUUUCAAAACUGCUCUAUGAUAAGGUAUGCUCAACUCUGUCAGUUGAAGGCAAACAUCACAAAGAUGUUUCUGAGAAUUAUUCUCUCUAGUUUUCAUGGGAAGACAUUUCCUUUUCCAGCACAGGCCUCAAAGUGCUCCAAAUGUCCAUUUGCAGAUUCUACAAAAAGUGUUUGAAACCUGCUCUAUCAAAAGAAAGGUUCAUCUCUGAGUUGAAUGCACACAUCACAAAGAAGUUUCUGAGAAUGCUUCUGUCUAGUGUUUAUGUGAGAUAUUCCUGUUUCCAAUGAAGGACUUAAAGUGGUCCAAAUAUCCUCUUGCAGAUUCUAUGAAAAGACUGUUUAAUGUCUGCUUUAUCAAAAGAAAGGUUCAACUCUGUGAGUUGAAUGCACAAAUCACAAAGAAGUUUCUGAGAAUGCUUCUGUCUAGUUUUUAUGUGAAGAUAUUUCGUUUUCCACCAUAGGCCACAAAGCUCUCCAAAAGUCCAUGGACAGAUUCUACAAAAAGAGUGUUUCAAAGCUGCCCUAUCAAAAGAAAGGUUCAACUCUGUGAGUUGAAUGUUCACAUCACAAAGAAGUUUCUGAGAAUGCUGCUGUCUAAUUUUUAUGUGAAGAUACUCCUGUUUCUGAUGAAGGCCUCAAAAAGUUCCAAAUAUUCACUUCCAGAUUCAACUAAAAGAUUGUUUCAAAACUGCUCUAUCAUAAGGUAUGUUCAACUCUGUGAGUUGAAGGCAAACAUCAC
rnacentral:lncRNA from 10 species